rnacentral:tRNA from 1 species
GGGCUUUUCCCAGUAGGGACUGGGUCUUUUUCUAGACUCAUAAUCCUUUGGUCCACGGUUCGAGUCCGUGUGGGCCCACCA